GGGGCUUGCGGAGGAGCCAACUAGAGCGAACACCCGGGAACUCUCUGGAGAGGGUGUGAAGAGCGCAGUGUGAAACAAUUCUUUUUACAGAAUGUAGAUAGUGUCCUUUGGGUUCGGGAGUUUUGGGCUCAGCGCCGACGUUGCCGCGCUUACUGAUAAGAAAAGUGUUAAAGCACCCAAGACUGUGGGACAGGAAAAAGGUUGAGGACCUUCUCACUGUGCUAUGGGCCUCCAAGAUCUAAACCUAUGAAUCUGGGCUCUUCUCUACUCUUGCCUUGCAGUAUGAAUUUUGACACCAACAUCUUCACUGCCCACUAACCUACAGGCCUCGCUCUACUUCAACCAGUGAAGCUGCUUGCUGUGCACAUCAAUUUGCCAUCC
rnacentral:lncRNA from 1 species